rnacentral:rRNA from 1 species
CCGCCAGGGAAUUACGAGCAAUGCUUAAAACCCAAAGGAUUUGACGGUGUCCCACCCCACUAGAGGAGCCUGUUCUAUAAUCGAUGAUCCCCGCUUCACCUAACCAUGCCUCGCUUAUCAGUCUGUAUACCUCCGUCGAAAGCCUACCAUGUGAACGUCCGCAGUAGGCUCAAUGAUUCACCAUCAACACGUCAGGUCAAGGUGCAGCUCAAGGAAUGGAAAGCAAUGGGCUACAAUUUCUAACUUAGAACAAACGAAAGACUAUGUGAAAUCCUAGUCAUGAAGGUGGAUUUAGUAGUAAAAAGAAACUAGAGUGUUCUUUUUAACCCGGCUCUGGGACGCGUACACACCGCCCGUCACCCUCUUCGAUAGUACCUUAUUUGUUCCUAACCAAACAUCACAUUUUAGAAGAGGCAAGUCGUAACAUGGUAAGUGUACUGGAAAGUGCACUUGGUAUACUA